rnacentral:tRNA from 1 species
UACAUUUUAUUGUUUUUAAGCAUUUAAAUUUUUGAUAUUUAAAGAAAUAAUUAAUUUUAUUAAAUGUAG